rnacentral:rRNA from 1 species
GAUGAACGCUAGCGGCAGGCUUAACACAUGCAAGUCGAGGGGCAGCGCGGGAUAGCAAUAUCCUGGCGGCGACCGGCGGACGGGUGCGUAACGCGUGAGCGACAUGCCCGUUGCCCGGGGACAACCGGUGGAAACGCCGACUAAUCCCCGAUGGGAUAUUGUGCCGCAUGGCACGAUAUUGAAAGUUACGGCGGCGACGGAUUGGCUCGCGUCCGAUUAGCUUGUUGGCGGGGUAACGGCCCACCAAGGCUGCGAUCGGUAGGGGUUCUGAGAGGAAGGCCCCCCACAAUGGGACUGAGACACGGCCCAUACUCCUACGGGAGGCAGCAGUGAGGAAUAUUGGUCAAUGGGCGGAAGCCUGAACCAGCCAUGCCGCGUGCGGGAAGGAGGCCCUAUGGGCUGUGAACCGCUUUUGCCUGGGGGCAAUAAGGGCGUCGCGCACGUCCGAUGAGAGUACCAGGCGAAUAAGCAUCGGCUAACUCCGUG